rnacentral:rRNA from 1 species
CUCGUAGGCGGCCAACUAAGUCAGACGUGAAAUCCCUCGGCUUAACCGGGGAACUGCAUCUGAUACUGGAUGGCUUGAGUUCGGGAGAGGGAUGUGGAAUUCCAGGUGUAGCGGUGAAAUGCGUAGAUAUCUGGAGGAACACCGGUGGCGAAGGCGGCAUCCUGGACCGACACUGACGCUGAUGAGCGAAAGCCAGGGAGCAACG